GACGAACGCUGGCGGCGUGCUUAACACAUGCAAGUCGAACGCUGAAGCUCAGCUUGCUGGGUGGAUGAGUGGCGAACGGGUGAGUAACACGUGAGUAACCUGCCCUCUUCUUUGGGAUAACGCCCGGAAACGGGUGCAAAUACUGGAUAUUCACUGAUUCUCGCAUGGGGGUUGGUGGAAAGGUUUUUUCUGGUGGGGGAUGGGCUCGCGGCCUAUCAGCUUGUUGGUGGGGUGAUGGCCUACCAAGGCUUUGACGGGUAGCCGGCCUGAGAGGGUGACCGGUCACAUUGGGACUGAGAUACGGCCCAGACUCCUACGGGAGGCAGCAGUGGGGAAUAUUGCACAAUGGGCGAAAGCCUGAUGCAGCGACGCCGCGUGAGGGAUGGAGGCCUUCGGGUUGUAAACCUCUUUCGCUCAUGGUCAAGCCGCAGCUUUGGGUUGUGGUGAGGGUAGUGGGUAAAGAAGCGCCGGCUAACUACGUG
rnacentral:rRNA from 1 species